ensembl:rRNA 5S_rRNA 5S ribosomal RNA
ACAUUUGGCUGUGCCAGACUGAAUGCACCUGAUCUCAUCUGAUCUUGGAAGCCGAGCAGCGGUGGACCUUACUGGUACUUGGAUGGAAGACUACCUUAGAGUCCCAGGCAUUGGGGCUA